rnacentral:pre_miRNA from 1 species
CAUGUACUCCCUCCGUUCCAAAUUACUCGUCGCAGAAAUGGAUGUAUCUAGAACUAAAAUACAUCUAAAUACAUCCAUACUUGUGACAAGUAAUUCGGAACGGAGGGAGUACUAG